ACACGUGAAGAACCUGCCUGGAAGUGGGGGACAACACCUCUAACGGGGUGCUAAUACCGCAUGUGCAUGUAAAACCGCAUGGUUUUGAAUGUAAAGGUGGCCUCUACUUGUAAGCUACCGCUUCCAGAUGGCUUUGCGUCCCAUUAGCUUGUUGGUGGGGUAAUGGCCUACCAAGGCGACGAUGGGUAGCUGGUCUGAGAGGAUGGUCAGCCACACUGGGACUGAGAUACGGCCCAGACUCCUACGGGAGGCAGCAGUCGAGAGGCUUCCGCAAUGGGGGAAACCCUGACGGAGCGACGCCGCGUGAGGGAUGAAGGAUUUCGGUUCGUAAACCUCUUUCAGGUGGGAAGAAAGGUUUGAGGGUGAAUAAUCUUCAGGCUGUGACGGUACCACCAGAAGAAGCUCCGGCUAACUCCGUGCCAGCAGCCGCGGUAAUACGGGGGGAGCAAGCC
rnacentral:rRNA from 1 species